GUACAAAUGAUGUGAACACAACAGUAUGAGAGAAGCGAUGAUACUGUAAACGCUUUCUGAUGUA
rnacentral:snoRNA from 1 species